UGGAGGGCAAGUCUGGUGCCAGCAGCCGCGGUAAUUCCAGCUCCAAUAGCGUAUAUUAAAGUUGUUGCAGUUAAAAAGCUCGUAGUUGAAUUUCGGGAUCGACGGGUCGGUCGCGCCUCUGGUGUGUACUGGCCCUGUCGGUUUCUCCCUUCUGACGAACCACGAUGUCAUUAAUUUGGUGUCGUGGGAAAUCAGGACUGUUACUUUGAAAAAAUUAGAGUGUUUAAAGCAGGCAUUCGCUUGAAUACAUUAGCAUGGAAUAAUGAAAUAGGACGUUUGAUCUUAUUUUGUUGGUUUCUAGGAUCGACGUAAUGAUUAAUAGGGAUAGUUGGGGGCAUUAGUAUUCAAUUGUCAGAGGUGAAAUUCUUGGAUUUAUUGAAGACUAACUACUGCGAAAGCAUUUGCCAAGGAUGUUUUCAUUAAUCAAGAACGAAAGUUAGGGGAUCGAAGACGAUCAGAUACCGUCGUAGUCUUAACCAUAAACUAUGCCGACUAGGGAUCGGAUGAUGUUAAUUUUUUAAUGACUCAUUCGGCGCCUUACGGGAAACA
rnacentral:rRNA from 1 species